CACGCCGCGUGAGUGAUGAAGGUUUUCGGAUCGUAAAGCUCUGUUGUUAGGGAAGAACAAGUGCCGUUCAAAUAGGGCGGCACCUUGACGGUACCUAACCAGAAAGCCACGGCUAACUACGUGCCAGCAGCCGCGGUAAUACGUAGGUGGCAAGCGUUGUCCGGAAUUAUUGGGCGUAAAGGGCUCGCAGGCGGUUUCUUAAGUCUGAUGUGAAAGCCCCCGGCUCAACCGGGGAGGGUCAUUGGAAACUGGGGAACUUGAGUGCAGAAGAGGAGAGUGGAAUUCCACGUGUAGCGGUGAAAUGCGUAGAGAUGUGGAGGAACACCAGUGGCGAAGGCGACUCUCUGGUCUGUAACUGACGCUGAGGAGCGAAAGCGUGGGGAGCGAACAGGAUUAGAUACCCUGGUAGUCCACGCCGUAAACGAUGAGUGCUAAGUGUUAGGGGGUUUCCGCCCCUUAGUGCUGCAGCUAACGCAUUAAGCACUCCGCCUGGGGAGUACGGUCGCAAGACUGAAACUCAAAGGAAUUGACGGGGGCCCGCACAAGCGGUGGAGCAUGUGGUUUAAUUCGAAGCAACGCGAAGAACCUUACCAGGUCUUGACAUCCUCUGACAAUCCUAGAGAUAGGACGUCCCCUUCGGGGGCAGAGUGACAGGUGGUGCAUGGUUGUCGUCAGCUCGUGUCGUGAGAUGUUGGGUUAAGUCCCGCAACGAGCGCAACCCUUGAUCUUAGUUGCCAGCAUUCAGUUGGGCACUCUAAGGUGACUGCCGGUGACAAACCGGAGGAAGGUGGGGAUGACGUCAAAUCAUCAUGCCCCUUAUGACCUGGGCUGUACACGUGCUACAAUGGACAGAACAAAGGGCAGUGAAACCGCGAGGUUAAGCCAAUCCCACAAAUCUGUUUCUCAGUUCGGAUCGCCCCUUGCAACUCUACUGC
rnacentral:rRNA from 1 species